AUUGCCUUAGUAACGGCGAGUGAAGCGGCAACAGCUCAAAUUUGAAAGCUGGCCCUUUCAGGGUCCGCGUUGUAAUUUGUAGAGGAUGAUUCGGCGAGGGCUCCCGCCUAAGUCCCCUGGAACGGGGCGUCAUAGAGGGUGAGAAUCCCGUAUGCGGUGGGCUGCCUUAGCCAUGUGAAUCUCCUUCGACGAGUCGAGUUGUUUGGGAAUGCAGCUCUAAAUGGGAGGUAAAUUUCUUCUAAAGCUAAAUACCGGCCAGAGACCGAUAGCGCACAAGUAGAGUGAUCGAAAGAUGAAAAGCACUUUGGAAAGAGAGUUAAAAAGUACGUGAAAUUGUUGAAAGGGAAGCGCUUGCAACCAGACUUGUCCGCAGUUGCUCAGCCGGUCUCCUGACCGGCGUACUCUUCUGCGGCCAGGCCAGCAUCAGUUCGGGCGGUCGGAUAAAGACCUCGGGAAUGUAGCUCCUCUCGGGGAGUGUUAUAGCCCGGGGUGGAAUGCGGCCAGCCUGGACUGAGGAUCUCGCUUCGGCAAGGAUGCUGGCGUAAUGGUUGUAAGCGGCCCGUCUUGAAACACGGACCAAGGAGUCUAACAUCUAUGCGAGUGUUUGGGUGUCAAACCCAUACGCGUAAUGAAAGUGAACGGAGGUGGGAACCCGCAAGGGUGCACCAUCGGCCGAUCCUGAUGUCUUCGGAUGGAUUUGAGCAAGAGCAUAGCUGUUGGGACCCGAAAGAUGGUGAACUAUGCCUGAAUAGGGUGAAGCCAGAGGAAACUCUGGUGGAGGCUCGCAGCGGUUCUGACGUGCAAAUCGAUCGUCAAAUUUGGGUAUAGGGGCGAAAGACUAAUCGAUCCAU
rnacentral:rRNA from 1 species